rnacentral:tRNA from 1 species
GCGGGUAUGGCGUAAUUGGUAGCCGCGCCAGACUUAGGAUCUGGUGACGUAAGUCGUGGGGGUUCGAGUCCCUUUACCCGCA